CGCUUGUACCACCAGUUACCAACCACCCUGUAUAUUUACUAUUCUACUUUGGUAUAUUUAUUUCUUUCAUUCAAUUGAUAAGAAUGUGAAUUUGCCUGGACAUCGUUAUGAGAAAUCCAUUGUAUCUUUUCAUAUCGACGAAAUAAAAUAUCUCGAUGGAGAUUAAAAUCCUAACUUAAUUAACUGUGAGAGAAAUAGACUCUGAAAAUCGUGAUUUACGUCGCUACGAUCAUCCACUCGUCACGCGAUUCUCUGAGGCAGCUGUUUGAACUGUACGAUGAUACUAUUGAUAUUGGAGUAUGGUAAAUGCAUCGUUAGGUCUAUCGAGUUAUCAUCGAAUUAUUAUAAAUAAUCGAAACCAAUCAGAGAAAAAAAAUGACGCCGAGACUAUACCAUUUUCUAUUCGCUAUCAGUUCUCUUUUAUGAUUUUUACUGCAUCCUUAAAUGACACGCUUCUGUACUGUUGCAAUGCACCAAACACGGCCAUUUCGUUAGUCCACGGAAACGAUUUUAGUGUCGCUUGUGUACGCACUCGAAGACUCUCGAGUUGAACUAUUGUACUGUCUAUUAUACGACCUGACGCGACUAUGCCUACUUAUAUUAUCGUUAUAGGUCAUCUUGAAAGUUUCGCGACUUUGAACCACGGUGUUUCGAAACAACGUGUGUCCCUCCGCGAAAAUUCAGUCUGGUUGUUUAAACGUAAAAGCAAGGAGUUUCCGAGUAUUAGCAUGGAGGAAAAAUUUGCCCAAACUACUUGCAAAAGUUACAGAAAUAUAACAAAUUCAUAAUGAUAUACCGACGAUAAGUUCGUAAUUUUAUAAUCUGAAUGCUAUUGAUAAAAUCGAGCUGAAUUAAACGAAAAGUUUCGGGAAUUUGAAUAAUGAAAUCGUGCACGAUAUGCAAAGAAGAGAAAGCUCUAAUUGAGGCACAGUCGUCGAUAUAUUCGUGCAAACGUGAUCAAUUUAAAGCAACUCUUAAUUAUCUAAAAUUUGUAUCAUUUUUUCAGGAUGUAAUUUGUUUCUAACUUCUUUCCUUUAGUUUUGAAUACAGGUAUCUUAUGUUCCUUAAGGCUAAGGGACAAUGUUGCAAUAUCUUUCCUCGUUGCCACUUUUCGUUAAUAAUUCUGAUAUCGCUUGUCCCAGAGCUAAAAUCAAAUUGCUACUUCUAAACGGUUCUAUCCUACCUAAUCUACUGAUAACAUAAGCAGAACGUUUCUGAGACCCUGCUGUUCCCAAAAGUGUUCUUAUCAGGUCCUUAACAGAAUUAUUUAGGAAACCGAUGGAAUGAAAGUGACUUCAGAAGAUGCCAUAGAUACAUGAUCAUUAAAGUCGUUUAAAGGUUGUUCAAAGGGUAUUCAAGGACAAAGGUCGCUAAAGGUUUCUCGAUGAUGAAACAAGAAAUAUAAUGCAACAUGCGAGGUGCUGCGUAAUAUCUUUUCGAUGCUUGGAAAAUCGUGGAAAUUUUCAGGAUGACCAAAACGAUUUGAAUCCGAUGCCUGACCAGAUAGUUUUGCUACGUUAGAAAACAUGUCGGGAGAAGUGAACGAUAAAAAGACAUCGUAUGGAAAAAAAGAGGAAAAAGGCGAUAGAAAGAUGAAGAGUGUACAGUCGUAUACCUUCUAGCUGAAUUUGGAAACCGUAAUACCUAUGGAAUAUUCAAGGAAGAAUCGCAACCACUCGUUAGUAGUAGGUCGAUGCACCUGAAGCGCUGCAUCCUUUAAACCAUCGCUGCAUUCCUGGAAAAUUCCAGCAUCGUUUCCAAGGACUACGCCACCGGAUCGAUAAAUCCGGCUGGCAUUACCGAAAAAUGAUUCCUAGUAUUAUUCGCGUCUUUUCCGAUACCUUCGCCUUUAUCUAACCCGCUAACUAUCGGCCAUUUCCUAUAACGUCGCCUUUGCCUGAUCUGCGCUUGAUCCACGCGAAAGCUCUCGUUUCUCUUGAAAAUACAGGCGCCGCGCGAGGGAUGAAAUUUCUUCGUCCCGAGAUUCGAAAGGAGGCGAGAUUUCACCGUUAUCUUCCCCUUUGGAAUCUCAACGGCGUCCGUUUUCGAGCUUCUCUUAUCAUCCCCUUUCUUUCGGAUUCGCAUUUUUUUCAGUUGGAAACAGAUUUAUCGAUCGUUUAAAAGUUUCCUCGUUUCCGCUGUCUCAUCAGCCCCUCUCCGCUCAUCGGCCUGUUUGCCAACUUUCUUUCUUCUUCAUCCCCUUUGCUCGCAUUUCAUUUGUCCGUGUUUGUUUCCAACGGUCAUCAGAACGACGAAUCUCCAUACACCGCGUUCACGAUCGUUCCUUAAAUCGCCAGGUAAGUCGCAAUGCAUGCGCCGUGCACAUCGAUGUGACGUUGCUAAUUUCUACCCGAUGCCUGACCUUGUUUGCACUGCAUCAAUCGGAAUGACACUACGAUAGGACGCUUUAUUUAACAAAGGACCGUGAAAUGUUUUCGUGAGUUUGUUGGCUUAUCCCGCAGUAUAGGUUCGAAUAACGAUGGAAAAGCGGGGAUCGAUACGACCCGAAAAUUUAUCGAACGUUUAUUAAGCGGCGCGUCGAACGAACGCGAGAAUGCGUAUGCUUAACUUUCUAUGAUAGAUUCGCGCGCGUAUGGAAUUAAACAGAAAAGAAGGGAAAAUCUAAAAGAAAGAACGAACUGUGCAUGCGACGUAGCGGAACUAUGAAAAAAGAAAAAAAAAGAAAAGAAAAGAAUAAGAAACGUUCGUUUUUGUUUCUACCUUUCUUUCUAGUUGGCGUAGAUACAUUUCUUGUAUGUACACAUAUUGUCUUUCUCUCUCUUUACGUGUGUAUAUACAGAUAUUUAUAUAUAUGUUUGUACAUUAAUAUAUUUAGAUGUGAAUAUAUACCUAUCUAGAUUAAUAUACAUAGUCCUCUAGAAAGUGCAUAUUGGCAACCUUGGUUCCUGUCUCGCUUUAUAACCGAGCCCGCCGUGGUUUGCUUUUGGGGUGAGGCCUUCAAUUUUUCAGUGACCUAAUAUUACAUUAAUGCCCUCACCGAUGCCAUCUUUCUCCUAUGCUCUGUUCCUCGCACCGUCGUGUCGUCGCGAAUUUCUUCAAAUUAUAUACAUAUACAUAUUAUAGAAAUAAUACACACACAUAUAUAUAUCUUACUCGUGAACACGAGCCUCUCGUUGCUUUGCUGGACAAAUAAUCUUGAUAAUUUGGACGAUUACUAGUUUACUAGACAUUCGGAUACCACUUUUUUUCCUAUUAGAAUAAGAACAAAAAAAGAAAAAGGAAAGAAAAGAAAAAAGCAAAAAUGAAAAAGGAAUGUAUCGCUAAUAGCUCUGUAAUUAACGAUUCGAGAUAUCUUGUUUGAGCUAAUUGUUUCGUAAUCGUUACUUUGGUCGCUUAUAAGCUCUUUAAACAGCUUUCGCAACUAGUGAGAAGCUUGAACGUUUUUGUCGAAAGCGUGAUACCUGCAGCUUGUGGAGUGAAAACCACACAGAACACCAUUUCGCCUCUAUUUUUUCCCAAAGAGAAAUCGACCUAUUCUAACCAUUAACGUGAAACAAGGUGAAAGAUCGUUUUCGUUUCAGGUCGCAGAGAGAGAGAGCGGCUUUUCUCUUUCACCUAAUCCAGACAAAUUUUCUAAAUUCGAUGCUCUUAAGACGAACGGUCACUCAUUGGACAGGUUGACGUCGUAAGAUUUGACCGAAAGGAAUUUAUCUCGCGUUUCUCCUUUACCCUAAAGGGAUCAACCAUGGCGGUAUGCGGGUAAUGCUUGGUCUAGUUAGCCCAACGAUUAAAUUUCCUCUGUGCCCGUUAAAUUCAGACACGAUUUAUUUCGUAUUCGACGAAGACAUCGUUGCCGGAAUUUUAAUCGUCGCAGAAUAGAAAAUCAAAAUCGGCCGCAUGUGACGACGAACAAGGAGGACGGAUAGAUCUUGCCACACUUUCGAAUCUCUACACAUUUUUCCGCGUUCACCGCCAAAUUUGUCCUUGCCUUUCGUCAACGCUUCACACACACACAUACACACACACAUACACACAUACACUUCGCGAAAUCAAACUGUCGUCGAACUUACUUACAUACAGCUUUUACACACGUAUCAGCUGUUUCGUCUUCUCGUUGUUCACGCAAAAAUACGACUCACUUUUCACACUGUAGGAAUAGAGAGAAAAGAAAGGAACACGCGCAGGAAAGAUUUAGCCGAUGAUUUACCGACUCGUUAAUUGCAUUUAUUGGUAUCUCAACCUUCCUCGCUGAUCAGUGUCAAGAGGGUACGCGUCUUAGUGUAGCGAGUAAAUUCUCAGCUCGCGCUUCGAUUCAUACGGUACGAAUACCGUUCCACUUAUCCUUGACAUUUCGAUACCCUCCUGCAGCUCCUGACACGAAAUUCUUUCCCAAGAAACGCCGGAGUUGUUUUUUUUCUUUUUUUUUUUUUUUUUCCAUGAGAGCCA